UGGGGAAUAUUGGACAAUGGGCGCAAGCCUGAUCCAGCCAUGCCGCGUGAGUGAUGAAGGCCCUAGGGUUGUAAAGCUCUUUCACCGGUGAAGAUAAUGACGGUAACCGGAGAAGAAGCCCCGGCUAACUUCGUGACAGCAGCCGCGGUAAUACGAAGGGGGCUAGCGUUGUUCGGAUUUACUGGGCGUAAAGCGCACGUAGGCGGACUAUUAAGUCAGGGGUGAAAUCCCGGGGCUCAACCCCGGAACUGCCUUUGAUACUGGUAGUCUUGAGUUCGAGAGAGGUGAGUGGAAUUCCGAGUGUAGAGGUGAAAUUCGUAGAUAUUCGGAGGAACACCAGUGGCGAAGGCGGCUCACUGGCUCGAUACUGACGCUGAGGUGCGAAAGCGUGGGGAGCAAACAGG
rnacentral:rRNA from 1 species